AGAAGGUGUCUUCCAGGAACUGGCAGUAGGACUGGGAGUUGAGCUUGACUCCAUCCUCAACCCGAAAAGGCCCCACAAGCUCAUCUUUGAUGAUACCAGCCCAAACCAGUACUCCACCUCCACCUUGCUGGCGUCUGAGUCGGACUGGAGCUCUCUGCCCUUUACCAAUCCAGCCACGGGCCCAUCCAUCUGGCCCAUCAAGACUCACUCUCAUUUCAUCAGUCCAUAAAACCUUAGAAAAAUCAGUCUUGAGAUAUUUCUUGGCCCAGUCUUGACGUUUUAGCUUGUGUGUCUUGUUCAGUGGUGGUCGUCUUUCAGCCUUUCUUACCUUGGCCAUGUCUCUGAGUAUUGCACACCUUGUGCUUUUGGGCACUCCAGUGAUGUUGCAGCUCUGAAAUAUGGCCAAACUGGUGGCAAGUGGCAUCGUGGCAGCUGCACGCUUGACUUUUCUCAGUUCAUGGGCAGUUAUU